rnacentral:rRNA from 1 species
UACGAAGGUGGCUAGCGUUGUUCGGAAUCACUGGGCGUAAAGCGCGUGUAGGCGGCUUAGUAAGUCGGGAGUGAAAUCCCGGGGCUUAACCCCGGAACUGCUCUCGAAACUGCUAGGCUCGAGUGUGACAGAGGAUGGUGGAAUUCCAUAUGUAGAGGUGAAAUUCGUAGAUAUAUGGAGGAACACCAGUGGCGAAGGCGGCCAUCUGGGUCAUUACUGACGCUAAGACGCGAAAGCGUGGGGAGCAAACAGG